rnacentral:rRNA from 1 species
CCUACGGGAGGCAGCAGUGGGGAAUCUUGCGCAAUGGGCGAAAGCCUGACGCAGCAACGCCGCGUGCGGGAUGAAGGCCUUCGGGUUGUAAACCGCUUUUAACAGGAACGAAAAUGACGGUACCUGUAGAAUAAGGUGCGGCCAACUACGUGCCAGCAGCCGCGGUGACACGUAGGCACCAAGCGUUGUCCGGAUUUAUUGGGCGUAAAGAGCUCGUAGGCGGUUCGAUAAGUCGGGUGUGAAAACUCUGGGCUUAACCCAGAGACGCCACUCGAUACUAUUGUGACUAGAGUUCGGUAGGGGAGCGGGGAAUUCCUAGUGUAGCGGUGAAAUGCGCAGAUAUUAGGAGGAACACCGGUGGCGAAGGCGCCGCUCUGGGCCGAAACUGACGCUGAGGAGCGAAAGCGUGGGUAGCAAACAGGAUUAGAUACCCUGGUAGUCCACGCCGUAAACGGUGGGCACUAGGUGUGGGCUCCAACCAACGGAGUCCGCGCCGUCGCUAACGCAUUAAGUGCCCCGCCUGGGGAGGUACGGCCGCGAAGUAAACUACAANAGAUAGAGCGNGAGAGNGCGAGACGACACGAGGGAGAG